GCGACGGGUUUACCCGGCCCGUUUAGAGACCCGGCCCGAUCCGAUUAAUUAAAAUAUAAAAGUUUUUUUGCAUUUUUUCCCCUCAUUUUCUUUCUUCCCUUUCUCUCUCUUCGUUAGGGUUUUCGCCGCUCCCUCUUCUCUCUCAUCUCCUUCCUAUCCGAGAGCAGCAACACCGUCAAGGCGGCUCUGUCCUCCUCUAUCUCCGGCGAUUUCACCGGAGAACAGCAAGGCGGACCCUCCUUCUUCUUUCUUCUCCGGCGAUUUCACUGUUUCUUCCAAAUCCUAGAUCCCCAAAUUUGCCAGCCUUCUUCUCGAUUUUCGAAGAUCUUCACAGUGAUCUGGGUGGAUCUGAUCCUGUCGAAGCCGGUGGAGUUCGGGGUGGGGCUGAUUUGCCUUUGUGGCUGGGAAUGAGAACUGCUGGGAAUGGCGGGGUUGAUUCAAGUUCAUGAGCUAGGAGAUUCAUUUUGACGUUCUGCAAUGGAUGUGGAAGUGAGCUGGGCGGAGGCCACUAGAUUGCUCCUCUCCAACGAGUUCAAGCUAGUUAGGAGAAAUUCAUUGUUGCAAACCUGCAAGAAUUCACGCCAUGUCUACAUGUUGUAGACAUUAUUGUCUACAAAUGUAUAAUUUAUACUAAUUAAAAGUAAAUAUUCUUAUGUUGAUUUGGUUAA